UACGUAGGGGGGCAAGCGUUGUCCGGAUUUUAUUGGGCGUAAAGAGCGUGUAGGCGGCUUCACAGGUCCGCUGUGAAAACUCGAGGCUCAACCUCGAGCUGUCGGUGGAAACCGUGUGGCUAGAGUCCGGAAGAGGAGAGUGGAAUUCCCCGGUGUAGCGGUGAAAUGCGCAGAUAUCGGGGAAGAACACCCCGUGGCGAAGGCGGCUCUCUGGGACGGUACUGACGCUGAGACGCGAAAGCGUGGGGGAGCAAACAGG
rnacentral:rRNA from 1 species